AAAAUUUAUCAAUUUUGCAUUUUUGCAAAAAUAGAUCACUUUUUUGAAUUUUGUAGAUUCAAUUCGAAUUUUUAGUAAACUGAUUAAAAUAUUUUUAUUCUUUUUUUCUCUCUUUUUCUCCUCCCUCAUGUUGAGUUUUUCAAUUUUUCCUACCGACAUUCUCGUUUCCGCUUAGGGCAUGUUUGUUUUGGUGUAAGUGGAGUGAUGGAACUCAAGUUCCAUCACUUUCGUUAUUUAUUUUGGUGUAAGUGAAAAUAUAAUGUAACUCAAGUUAUGUUAGACCUCCACUUUACCUACUCUCGACUUCCUCCUCUAAAGUGCCGAACUCGACUUCCACCACACUCAACCUCCUCUAAAAUAUUUAUUAAACAGUAAAACCUAAACUCAACUUCCCUUAUAAUAGAUUAGAAUUACCUUAUUUCUAAUAAAUUAGGAUUAUCUUUAAAUAAUAAAAAAAGUUUAAUUAUAUAAUAAGUUAAAUUUUAUAGCGAUAAAUUUACUAUUAUAUUUAGGAGAUAAUGAGAUCCACUUACUUACAUCAAAACAAACAACAGAACUCACAAAACUAAUUUCAUUAGCACCAAAUUACAUCAAAACAAACAGAAGAAGUAAUUGAAUUUAACUUUCGGGCUAUACGAGUUACAUCAAAAUAAACAACCAAAAAAUAAUCACACUUCAGAGAAACUCAAACACCACUGCACUUGACUUACGUUGGAUCUACAGAUUCGUCAAUCCAAACGGACCCUUAAUCGAACCCUGCUUUUACAGUUGCUUCCCUCUAA
rnacentral:lncRNA from 1 species